CUGAGGGAUUCUGGGAGUUGCAGUCCACAAGUCUUAAAGUGGCCAAGGUUGGAGACCCCUGCUCUAGACUACGUAGCUGCAGCAUCUGACGCUUGUCCAGUCAGUUGCUUAGUUUGUUUAGCUUAGGUUCAGAGGUUCACCUCCUGGGGAAGUUCUUUUUGGUCACAAAAA